AAAACAGAAAACCACCCCUACCACCAGCGAAAUUGCUGUUGAGGAAGUUUUGUGUGAAGAGCAUGAAAUCCUUCUAUUGGCAAGCACUUGUUCCAAAGCUUCUGUUGCCUUCUGUUUUUACUGAAAAGUGUCUGCAAUGGUUGCCAGCAUUCUUCUGCUGCUGCAGUGGGCUUAAACCAUAGCAAGGUUGAAAUCGUGGUCAGGAUCAGACGUCCCCCAUUAGACACAUAGCACCUGAAUGAACAUAGACCUAAGGUCAUAGCAAGGAUAUAAACUAGUUAUCUGACUCCCUAUCUACCCAGGCAAUAAAGAGAUAAGAAUUAAAAGAA
rnacentral:lncRNA from 1 species